UGUGAGUGAGCUUGGUAUCUCGGACUCAGCUGUUCGGCGAUCAGUCGCUAGUCGCUCUUACUCCGCUUCCCGCGCACGUCUUACGUCCCGUGCUUUACUGACCUGGCUCACGCUGUCCAUCCCCCACCACGCCUCCCCGAAAAUCCGCUUUGUUCCAUAUUUUCAAAAUUCAAAGGAGAGGUCCCACCAGUGACUCAGUGACGCGGCACCGUUAAAUGUCUAUAUAAGCGCUCCAGACUUUGGGCACCGUUGUUAAUCCCGUGUCGUCCUUUCGCUUGUCAACAUCACGUGGUGCGAACCCGGCUUUCAGCUUUUGACCGCUCGUCGCGAAUCCGUUUGUUUACUUGCGUUCGCGAGGCUUCGGCUUGCACUUGCCAACGCCAUGGCUUUUUGUUACAUCCUCGACCCGACUGGGUUAUACUGACCGCUCCGCCGACUACCAUCCCAGAUGGCUUUUGCCGAGAAUUUGCUUGAGAUAUAUCCGGAAACUGCCUCAGCUCCAGUGCUCACUGCCUCCACCUCACAGAAAUGUUCCUUCCGGACGCAAUAGUUGCCCAAGGCCAAGCGGGCCCAGCCCUUCGGCUGUUUGGAGAGCAUGGAAGAAAAAAUAGUGGGACAAUCUCCCGAAUCACACAAAGACUUAAUAGAAUUUUGCUUUUAAGGAAUCCCAGUUUGUACAUUAAUCAGAUUAUAAUUGUAAAAUAAUUUAUUGUAUUAUAAUUAAUUUUAAUGCCAAAGAAA